rnacentral:rRNA from 1 species
CGCAGCCGCGGUAAUUCCAGCUCCAAUAGCGUAUAUUAAAGUUGUUGCAGUUAAAAAGCUCGUAGUUGAAUUUCGGGGUCAGCAGGUUGGUCGUGCCUAUGGUAUGAACUGGCUUCGCUGGUCUCUCCUUUCUGAAGAACUGUAAUGCCAUUAAUUUGGUGUUGCAGGGACACAGGACUGUUACUUUGAAAAAAUUAGAGUGUUUAAAGCAGGCUAACGCUUGAAUACAUUAGCAUGGAAUAAUGAAAUAGGACGUUCGAACCUAUUUUGUUGGUUUCUAGGAUUGACGUAAUGAUUAAUAGGGAUAGUUGGGGGCAUUAGUAUUCAAUUGUCAGAGGUGAAAUUCUUGGAUUUAUUGAAGACUGACUACUGCGAAAGCAUUUGCCAAGGAUGUUUUCAUUAAUCAAGAACGAAAGUUAGGGGAUCGAAGACGAUCAGAUACCGUCGUAGUCUUAACCAUAAACUAUGCCGACUAGGGAUCGGAUGAUGUUAAUUUUUUAAUGACUCA